rnacentral:rRNA from 1 species
AUAUCAAUAAGCGGAGGAAAAGAAAAUAACAAUGAUUUCCCUAGUAACGGCGAGUGAAGAGGAAAGAGCUCAAAGUUGGAACCUGUUUGGCCUAGCUAAACAGGAUUGUAAACUGUAGAAGUGUUUUCCAGGCAAUCCGAGUUAAUAAGUCCUUUGGAACAGGGCAUCAUAGAGGGUGAGAAUCCCGUCUUUGAUUCGAGAUAUUUUGUCUUUUGCGAUACACUUUCAAAGAGUCAGGUUGUUUGGGAAUGCAGCCUAAAUUGGGUGGUAAAUCUCACCUAAAGCUAAAUAUUGGCGAGAAACCGAUAGCGAACAAGUACCGUGAGGGAAAGAUGAAAAGAACUUUGAAAAGAGAGUUAAACAGUAUGUGAAAUUGUUAAAAGGGAACCGUUUGGAGCCAGACUGGCUUGUCUGUAAUCAAUCUAGGUUUCGUGCCUGGAUGCACUUGCAGACUAUUUGCCUGCCAACGACAAUUUUUUUUGAGUGUAAAAACUAUUGGAAAUGUGGCCAAUAUUUAUUUAUUGGUGUUAUAGUCCUUUAGAAAAUACCUUGAAUUGGAUUGAGGAACGCAGCGAAUGCUUCUCUUUUGAGGCAAAGUCUUUUAUUGGGAUUUACGGAUCAGACUGUGGCAUUGUCACAAGACUUGAAGUUUAAACCUAUUUUUGAACUUUUAUUCGCUUAGGUUGUUGGCUUAAUGACUCUAAAUGAC